rnacentral:rRNA from 1 species
CGUAUAUUAAAGUUGUUGCAGUUAAAAAGCUCGUAGUUGAAUUUGUGGUUGGAGCGACCGGCCCGACACAGUGUGUUGGUGCUCGGUUGUCUCCGUCCAUCCUUGGGUGGAAUCUGUGUGGCAUUAAGUUGUCGUGCAGGGGAUGCCCAUCUUUUACUGUGAAAAAAUUAGAGUGUUCAAAGCAGGCUUACGCCGUUGAAUAUAUUAGCAUGGAAUAAUGAGAUAGGACCUAGGUACUAUUUUGUUGGUUUGCGCACCGAGGUAAUGAUUAAUAGGGAUAGUUGGGGG